AUGGUUUUGAUGACUUUUAAAUUCUCUCUAGCUCCAGAGUCUGUGAUCUGUGGUCCUCUGGAGGUGGUGCUGGAAAGAAUUCAUUCAGAGAAUUCUGAUCUCUCAUUCAGAGAGAUCCUUGUGAGGAGCUUCCAGCCAUGUGAGUGAAUUGUGGUUAGAAGUUUCCAGUGUGUCUAUUGGAGAAAGAAUGUCUUUUCUGGGGAGAGAGGAGCAGCUAAAGAAAUUGGAUUGAGUAUUGGGCUAUACCUUGGGCAAGACUGCAGAGCUUCAGAAUGCCAGUAAGAGUAAGUCACCUAACCUGGUCUACACCUUAGUGGGACUUUCUUCUAUAAGUUCUUUGACAAGGUGUUCAUCCAGCCUCUACUUGAAGGUACUUAGUGGCUGCCUUCCCAGGCAAAUCUAUCUCACUAUUAGAAAGCUCUAACUGGAACUGAUUCACACACCCCCCCCCCAAUUUAUACAUUUUAUGUUUUUUAAAAUUUUAUUCUAAUAGUAUAUUAUUUUUCCAAUUAAAUGUUAAGAUAGUUUUUAACAUUCGAUUUUGUAAGAUUUUGAGUUCCCAAUUUUUGCUUCCUCCCUUUCUUACCUUUUCCCUCACCAAGACAACAAGUAAUCAGAUAUAGCUUAUACAUGCACAUUCAUUUUAAACAUAUUUCCACAUAAGUCAUCUUUGGAAAGAAAAAUCAAAACAAAAGGCAAAAACCAUGAGCUAGGAGAAAAAACAAAACAAAAACAUAAAAAUACUGAGUUUCAAUCUGGAUUCAGCCUUCAGAGUUCUUUCUCUGGAGGUUGAUGGCAUUUUCCAUUACAAGUCUAGUGGAAUUACCAUGAAUCACUUCUUUGCUGAGAAAAAAUAAGUCUAUCAUGGCUGAUCAUUACAUAAUCUUGCUGUUAUUGUAUACAGCAUUGUCUUGGUUCUGCUUACUUCACUCAGUAUCAGUUCAUAUAAGUCUUUCUUUUCUGAAAUCUGCCUUUUCAUCAUUUUUAUAGAACAAUAAUAUUCCAUUACAUUCACAUACCAUAACUUAUUCAGCCAUCUCUCUACUGAUGGCCAUCCAUUCAAUUUCCAGUUCCUUGCCACUACAAAAAGAGCAAUUGCAAAUAUUUUUGCUCAUAUGAGUCCUUUCCCCUCUUUUAUAAUCUCUUUGGGAUACAGACUCAGUAGUGCCACUGAUGAAUCAAAAAUGUAGUUUUAUUGCUAUACAGGGCAGAACUUGGAAGAAAUAUACUUUAAACAAGUGUACUUGAAACAAAGUGUUAACUCAGUGGAAUUGAUGAGAUAAUGGUUCUCAAGUUCCCAUAUAUAAUUAGGACUUACUAUGGUGAUGUAAUGGUUCUCUAAAUUCAUACAUAUUCAGUAUGCUGUAAUGAUGUAAUUACAAUAAGAUAAAGAAGGGCUAAGAAGGACUAGAAGAUAGGCAUUCUAUUUUUGACCAGCCUCAUGGUGGCUGUCCUACCUUCAUCACUUCUCCACUAAGAGCAAGGACUUGGGCUGAUCCCGAGGUCCUCCAGAAAGCUAGCUUGAACAUUACAUUUUGGCAGCCAAUGUGGGGCCUCUUUGGAUAUAGUUCCAAAUUGCUCCCCUUAACAGCUAGAUCAGUUCACAACUCCAACAAUGCAUUAGUGUCCCAGUUUUCUCACAUCCAGUUCAACAUUUAUCAUUUCCUAUUAUCUUAGCCAAUCUGAUAGAUAUGAAGUGGUAUCUCAGAGUUGUUUUAAUUUGCAUUUCUCUAAUAGUGAUUUAGAAAAUUUUUUUCCAUAUUACUAUAGAUGGCUUUAAUUUCUUUACCUGAAAAUUAUUUGUUCAUACUCUUUGACCAUUUAUCAAUUGAAGAAUAACUUGUAUUCUUAUAAAUUUGAAUCAGUUUCUUAUGUAUUUUAGAAAUGAGGCCUUUUUCAGAAACUGCUUGUAAAAUUGUUUCCCACCAUUCUGCUUCCCUUCUAGUAUACAUUGAUUUUGUUUGUGUAAACCCUUUUUAAUUUAAUGUAAUCAAAAUUAUCCAUUUUGCAUUUCAUAAUGUUAUCUCUUUCUUGUUUGUUCAUAUAUUAUUUCCUUCUCCAAAGAUCUGACCAAUAAAUUAUCAUUUGCUUUUCUAAUUUGCUUAGCACCCUUUUUGUCUAAAUCAUAUACCCAUUUUGAUCUUAUCUUGGUAUGGGGUGGGAGAUCUUGGUUUAUGCCUAUUUUCUGCCAUACUAUUUUCUACUUUUUUCCCAUAAUUUUUGGGAAAUAGUGAGUUUUUACCCAGAAGUUGAGUCUUUGGAUUUAUCAAGCAGUAGAUUACUGUAGUCAUUGACUAAAAGUGAUUUCUUAUAUCAAGCCAAAUCAGGUUUGAGUGCAACUCUCACAACUCUGCAUCCCAUUCAUUGCAGAAUACAAUCAAUCUCUCUUUUAAGAUAGCCUUUCAAAAACUUGAGGGCAUCAAUCAAAAUUCUCUUAAAUCUUCUCUUUUUCAGGAUAAAUAUCUAUACUUCUUCCCAUGAUUCUCCUAUGUAUUUGAAGUGGUGAUCAGUGAAUUUUUUCUAUUUUUACUUUCCUCUCCUGUUCUAUCACUUUGGGAUAAUUUUCUUUAACUAUUUCCUUGUAUUAUUGUCUCAAGAUUCUAC
rnacentral:lncRNA from 1 species